GUAAGUGGCUGAGAACACACGAAUCCCGAGUGAUUCCGAUGCCCGUAUCACUCUUCACACGGUGGAAGUCGCUGGUUCGAAUCCAGCUGUGCCCA
rnacentral:tRNA from 1 species